UGUAAGGCUCUUUUCAGAGCCACAUCUGGCUUGAAUAAAUGCAAG
rfam:Gallus gallus isolate RJF #256 breed Red Jungle fowl, inbred line TCD001 chromosome 9, whole genome shotgun sequence.